AAAAAUCCAAUGAUGGCCCAAUUACAUAUAGAUACAAGCGUCAAUAAUUUGUACAUACAUUAGAUAUACUUAUAUACAUGAUAUAGUGUAGUAUCUUUCUGUAGAAUAUUCUAGAAUACGUAUAUGUGUACAAAUUAGGUAUAGGUCGGUUAGGAAACCUUUUUUUAUUUACAGUUUAGUCCAUUGUAGAAUGUACAAAACAGCAGAAUCAGGGAUGGAGGAGAUCUGUGCUUAUUGCACUUUCAGCCAAAAAUAAGUUAAGCUUCAUCAAUGGAGUCAGUCCACAACCCAAGCCUGAUGAUCAGACCUAUCCAGCUUGGAGUAGAUGUAAUGAUAUGGUCACCUCUUGGAUCCUUAAUUCCUUGUCCAAAGAUAUUGCAGAUUCUGUCAUCUAUUCAAGAACUGCGAAGGAUCUUUGGACAGAUCUGGAGCAGAGGUUUGGUCAAUCCAAUGGAGCAAUUGUAUCACCUGCAAAAGGAAAUCAAUGGAUUAACUCAAGGAUCUACUGAUAUUGCAGGAUAUUUCACCAGGAUUAAGAGGCUUUGGGAUGAACUUGACUCUCUCAAUUCUCAUAUCAAUUGUCUGUGUGCUUGUACCUGUAAGGGAAAGAAGAAAAUAGCCAAAUCUUUGGAAGAUCAAAGACUCAUCCAGUUCCUUAUGGGACUUAAUGAUGUUUACUCCCAGGCUAGAGGAAACAUUCUUAUGUUGAAUCCUUUACCCAGAAUCAACCAUGCCUAUUCUCUUCUCCUUCAGGAUGAGAAUCAGAUGGAGGUAUAUGUGAACCCUCAAAUUCCUACUAAUUCCUCAUCUUUUAUGGCAGGUAAUCAUUAUAUAGUUAGGCAGAGACCGGCUAAACAGAGAUCCAAACCUGUUAAUCAGGUACAUGGACAAAGGUCCAGAUCUGGAACUAACCAGCCUCAGUGAGGUGGUUUCAAACCAAGGAAGACUAAGUAUAAUCCUAGUGUGAGUUGUACACACUGUCUAAAUACAGGACAUGUGGAGGAUGAUUGCUAUAGGCUCAUAGGAUAUCCUGAAGAUUUUGAGUUUACCAAUACUAAAGGGUAUGCUGUUAAAGGGAAUGCCACAUAUGUGACUGAGGAAUAGGAAGCCAUGGAUCACCAUUAUAGUGACCUUGAUAUCAAUGACCUCACACAACACCUUAGUAAGGGGCAAGUCUCACAGAUUAUAAAGAUCUUCAAACAAACACAAGGAGGGGGACAUACCACUAACGCCACUCCAAAGAUCAAUGCUAAUGCUAUAGCUGGUACUAUGACUAAAUAUAUAGGUUCAUGAAAAGCUGCUUUCAAUAGUGAUGUUUGGAUCAUUGACUCUGGUGCAUCUGAACAUAUGUGUUUUGAUGAGAAUUCCUUUCACAUUUUGAUUCCUUUCUCUUGUCCUGUGCAUAUUAACCUUCCCAACUCCCAUAGAGUCACUAUUACACAUAUAGGCAGUAUACAUAUAUUGCCAAAUCUAAUAUUGAACAAUGUUCUUCUUGUCCCUUUUUUUAAGUAUAAUUUAUUAUCUGUGCAUAAAUUGUGCUUACAAUUUAAUUGUACUAUCUUUUUUAACUCUGGUAAGUAUCUCAUGCAGGGCCCUACGAGGAGGGCACAAGCUUUUGGUGAAUCUAGAGAUGGACUCUAUCUAUUGCAACCUACCAGUUUUAAGUCUAGGGAGUCCAAAACAAAUGAUGUAUCUAAUGUUUCUACUAAUGGUCAUUUCAAUUCAGUUCUAGUUUCUUUUCCUUUUACUACAAAUACACUGUCAGAUGUAAAACUUUGGCAUGUAAGACUCGGGCACUUGCCUUUUCAAGCAAUGAAACAUCUUAAUUUGGUCUCUUUUCCGUCUAGUUUUGAUUGUUCUUGUGAUAUUUGUCCUCUUGCAAGACAAACAAGAAGCACCUUUCCUUAUAAGUUCUAUCAAAACCAAGAGAAUUUUUGAGUUGAUUCAUAUAGACAUUGGGGACCUUACAAGGUUCAUACACAUGAUGGAUAUAAGUAUUUCUUAACUAUUGUGGAUGAUUUUAGCAGGGGCACUUGGACCUUCUUACUCACUGCAAAGAGUAGUGCUUUUCCAAUGCUCAAAAAUUUCUUGGCUAUGGUUGAAAGACAGUUCAAUGUGAAAGUUAUGAGGAUAAGAUCAGACAAUGCUCUAGAACUUGGGAAGGGGUCUCUGGAAGCUAGUUACCUAAACUCUCAUGGAAUUGUUCAUGAAACCUCAUGUGUUGCUACUCCUCAACAAAAUGGAGGUGUCGAGAGAAAGCAUAGGCACUUGUUAGAGAUUGCCAGAGCUCUUCUUUUUCAGUCCAAACUUCCUACAUCAUUCUGGGGAGAAUCCAUUCUCACAGCCACACAUUUGAUCAAUAGAAUACCUUCUAGGGUCCUCCAAGGGAAAAGCCCGUAUCAGUUACUUUUUGGGAAAUUGCCUAAAUAUAGAUCCUUGAGAAGUUUCGGAUCACUAUGUUAUGCUUCUACUCUACAACAUCGUAGAAGUAAAUUUGAUCCUAGGGCUAAACCUUGUAUCUUUCUGGGAUAUCCACAAGGACAGAAAGGGUACAAAUUGUUGGACUUAGAAACCAAAAAGAUUUUAGUUUCUAGAGAUGUCCACUUUCAGGAGACCAUUUUUCCUUUUUCUACUUUUUCUCCUACCCCAGAGCCUAUUUUUCCCAUGCAUGAGUCAUCUUAUUCAGAUCUUACUCCUUCGAUCUCAGAAUCUGUAGAUGUCAGUCUUGCUUCAUUUCCUUCUCUCUUUGAGUCUGCCUCACCUCCCAGUCCUACCCUUGACACCCACUCUUUCCCCUUUCCUACCAUUCCUCCCAGGAGAUCAGAAAGGACAAGGAAAAUACCUGAUUAUCUAACUGACUUUGUUUGCAAUAACAUAUUUAUUUCAGAUGUCACUAGAACUUGUUUUGCAGUGCCUAUGCAGGCUUCUACUUUCUCCUUUGGGGCCUUAUCUAUGCAGAAUCAACACCUCCUAGGUUCUAUCAACACUAUCACUGAACCUAAAGGGUAUUCCCAGGCAUGUUUGCAUCCUGGCUGGAGGGUUGCUAUGGAUAGGGAACUCAAAGCUCUCAUAGAUAAUAACACUCAGGAAGAGGUUUCCUUACCUAAAGGACGAAAGGCUCUACCUUGUAAAUGGAUAUAUAAGGUCAAACAACACUCAGAUGAAACCAUUGAGAGACUGAAGGCAAGACUUGUGAUCAGAGGAGACAUUCAGAGAGAAGGCAUUGCUUAUAAUGAGACCUUCUCCCCUGUGAUCAAAAUGACCACAAUCAGGUGCCACCUAACCAUUGCAGUCAAGAAGGGAUGGUCAAUUUCCCAACUUGAUGUUAAUAAUGCAUUUUUACAUGGUGACUUACAAGAGGAAGUCUACAUGCAGUUUCCUUUAGGGAUGGAUAAGCCUAAUUCUAACCUUGUAUGCAAGCUAAGAAAAUCUCUCUAUGGUUUGAAACAAACUUCACAACAAUGGUAUGCGAAGCUUGCUGGGGCUUUACAAUUUAAAGGUUAUUCAGCUUCAUUGAAAGAUUAUUCCUUAUUUUUCAAAAAAUCAUGUUCUUCAAUUUCUAUAGUUGCUAUAUAUGUGGACGAUAUUCUCAUUACUGGGAAUGAUCCAUCAGAAUUUAUUCAACUUAAGGGAUUUUUGAAUUCAGAAUUUCAUAUCAAGGACCUGGGAGAACUACAUUACUUUCUGGGCAUGGAGGUAUUACGAGAAACUCAAGGUAUAAUUUUGGGACAGAGAAAAUUUACCUUCGAACUCGUAGAGGAGUUUGAUUGCUCACAUCUGCCGCCUGUUUUUUCACCUUUUGCUCCUUCUGAAAAGCUAUCGACUUCUGCUGGUCCUCUCCUGGCAAAUCCCACAAUGUAUCGACGGCUUGUUGGUAAGCUUAAUUACCUCACUCACACUCGCCCGGACUUGUCUUAUGUUGUGCUUUGUCUUAGCCAAUAUACGCAAACCUCGUGUGUUGGUCAUUAUAAUGCCGGACUCAGAGUGUUGCGAUAUUUGAAAUCUAAUCCAGACCAAGGUUUGUUUUUAAACGCUUCCUCCUCUUUGUCACUCAUUGCCUUUUGUGAUGCGGAUUGGGCCUCUUGUAAAGACUCGCGCAGAUCGGUUAGUGGAUUUUUCAUCAGUCUUGGCGGCUCACCUAUUUCUUGGAAAUCCAAGAAAUAAGCUUCCAUUUCCCUCUCCUAAGCUGAAUCAGAGUAUAGAUCGAUGUGUCGGGUUACUACUGAACUCACCUGGUUGACUCGAUUGCUCAAGGACCUAUCUCUACAACAGACUCUACCUAUUCCUGUCUUCUCUGAUAGAAAAGCUGUUAUUUAUAUUGCUCGUAACCCGGUGUUUCACGAAUGCACUAAACAUGUGGAACUUGAUUGCCAUUUUGUCCGACAACAAUUCCUUGCGGGCUUGAUUUCUUUAUCCUUCGUCCCUUCAUCGGCUCAGCUAGCUGAUCUCUUUACUAAACCAUUGGCUGGACCUUCUCACCACAUGAUUCUGUCCAAGUUGGGUAUCAGUUCCCUCCCCUCCAACUUGAAGGGGGGUGUUGAGUUUUAUAGUGCAUCGAAAUCAAAGAAGAAAGAAGUG
rnacentral:lncRNA from 1 species